rnacentral:tRNA from 1 species
UGGAGUGUAGCUCAGUGGUAGAGCAUGUGUUUAGCACUCAUAAGGAUCUGAGUUCAGUCCUCAGCACUGGAA